rnacentral:rRNA from 1 species
UAGGGAAUCUUCCACAAUGGACGCAAGUCUGAUGGAGCAACGCCGCGUGAGUGAAGAAGGCUUUCGGGUCGUAAAACUCUGUUAUUGAAGAAGAACGUGCGUGACAGUAACUGGUCAUGCAGUGACGGUAUUCAAUCAGAAAGUCACGGCUAACUACGUGCCAGCAGCCGCGGUAAUACGUAGGUGGCAAGCGUUGUCCGGAUUUAUUGGGCGUAAAGCGAUGUGCAGGCGGUCUUUUAAGUCUGAUGUGAAAGCCUUCGGCUUAACCGAAGAAGGGCAUCGGAAACUGGGAGACUUGAGUGCAGAAGAGGAGAGUGGAACUCCAUGUGUAGCGGUGAAAUGCGUAGAUAUAUGGAAGAACACCAGUGGCGAAGGCGGCUCUCUGGUCUGUAACUGACGCUGAGGCUCGAAAGCGUGGGUAGCAAACAGGAUUAGAUACCCUGGUAGUC